rfam:Weissella koreensis KACC 15510 plasmid WKp2903, complete sequence.
UAUAAAUACGCUCCUUUGGGCGUGUUGUUGGAUAAGUAUAAAGAAAAACUUUUAGUCGGGAAUUUCUUUAUGCUUUUUAUUAUAACC